rnacentral:misc_RNA from 1 species
GAUGAAGAACGCAGCGAAAUGCGAUAAGUAAUGUGAAUUGCAGAAUUCAGUGAAUCAUCGAAUCUUUGAACGCACAUUGCGCCCGCCAGUAUUCUGGCGGGCAUGCCUGUUCGAGCGUCAUUUCAACCAUCAAGCCCCCGGCUUGUGUUGGGGACCUGCGGCUGCCGCAGGCCCUGAAAAGCAGUGGCGGGCUCGCUGUCACACCGAGCGUAGUAGCAUACAUCUCGCUCUGGGCGUGCUGCGGGUUCCGGUCGUUAAACCACCUUCAUAACCCAAGGUUGACCUCGGAUCAGGUAGGAAGACCCGCUGAACUUAAGCAUAUCAAUAAGCGGAGGA